ACGGGAGGCAGCAGUGGGGAAUAUUGGGCAAUGGGGGAAACCCUGACCCAGCAACGCCGCGUGAAGGAAGAAGGCCUUCGGGUUGUAAACUUCUUUUACCAGGGACGAAGAACGUGACGGUACCUGGAGAAAAAGCCACGGCUAACUACGUGCCAGCAGCCGCGGUAAUACGUAUGGUGCAAGCGUUAUCCGGAUUUACUGGGUGUAAAGGGUGCGUAGGCGGCAUGGCAAGUCAGAUGUGAAAGACCGGGGCUCAACUCCGGGGCUGCAUUUGAAACUGCCAGGCUGGAGUACAGGAGAGGCAGGCGGAAUUCCUAGUGUAGCGGUGAAAUGCGUAGAUAUUAGGAGGAACACCAGUGGCGAAGGCGGCCUGCUGGACUGUUACUGACGCUGAGGCACGAAAGCGUGGGGAGCAAACAGGAUUAGAUACCCUGGUA
rnacentral:rRNA from 1 species